UACGUAGGGGGCGAGCGUUGUUCGGAAUUACUGGGCGUAAAGGGCGCGUAGGCGGCCGAUCAAGUCAGAUGUGAAAGUCCUGGGCUUAACCUGGGGACUGCAUUUGAUACUGAUUGGCUUGAAUGCAGGAGAGGAUAGCGGAAUUCCCAGUGUAGAGGUGAAAUUCGUAGAUAUUCGGAAGAACACCAGUGGCGAAGGCGGCUCACUGGACCGGUAUUGACGCUGAGGUGCGAAAGCGUGGGGAGCAAACAGG
rnacentral:rRNA from 1 species